rnacentral:rRNA from 1 species
UACAGAGGAUGCAAGCGUUAUCCGGAAUGAUUGGGCGUAAAGCGUCUGUAGGUGGCUUUUUAAGUCCGCCGUCAAAUCCCAGGGCUCAACUCUGGACAGGCGGUGGAAACUACCAAGCUGGAGUACGGUAGGGGCAGGAGGAAUUUCCGGUGGAGCGGUGAAAUGCGGUAGAGAUCGGAAAGAACACCAACGGCGAAAGCACUCUGCUGGGCCGACACUGACACUGAGAGACGAAAGCUAGGGGAGCGAAUGGG